rnacentral:rRNA from 1 species
AACGAACGCUGGCGGCAGGCUUAACACAUGCAAGUCGAGCGCCCCGCAAGGGGAGCGGCAGACGGGUGAGUAACGCGUGGGAAUCUACCCAUCUCUACGGAAUAACGCAUGGAAACGUGUGCUAAUACCGUAUACGUCCUUCGGGAGAAAGAUUUAUCGGAGAUGGAUGAGCCCGCGUUGGAUUAGCUAGUUGGUGGGGUAAAGGCCUACCAGGGCGACGAUCCAUAGCUGGUCUGAGAGGAUGAUCAGCCACACUGGGACUGAGACACGGCCCAGACUCCUACGGGAGGCAGCAGUGGGGAAUAUUGGACAAUGGGCGCAAGCCUGAUCCAGCCAUGCCGCGUGGGUGAUGAAGGCCCUAGGGUUGUAAAGCUCUUUCACCGGUGAAGAUAAUGUCGGUAACCGGAGAAGAAGCCCCGGCUAACUUCGUGCCAGCCGCCGCGGUAAAAC